UUUAUAGUCAUUAAUGAUACUAGACUGCAAUUCUAGAGGAGCAAUUUUUUUUUGCUAAGGCUUAAA
rnacentral:tRNA from 1 species